rnacentral:lncRNA from 10 species
CUGAAAUUGCAAUCUUUCUUUCUGCUUUACAAAGCAGAGUAAAACCUAAACUAUUGUUGUUACAAUACCAAACUCAUGGCACAACACUGUGUAAUUUAGAGUUUUAUUAUUUAAUGUAACUCUUUACUCCCUCUAUUUAUUAUCUCUUAUAGUGUAACAGAUGGCCCACAAUUUGGAAGCUUACUACGACAUGAUCACAGUGUUGGUGGAUCAGGAAUACUGGCCCAGCUUAGCUGGGUGCCUCUGACUCAAGGAUGAAAUGUAGACCUUUUCAUCAUGUACUCCUAACAUGGCAGCUGCCUUCCUCAAAAAAGAAGAGAGAGAGAACAAGAGAGAGUGACCAAGAUGGCCAUCACAGACUUUUUGUAACCUAAUCUUGGAAGUGACACCCCAUUCCCUCUGCUGCAUUAUCUUCUCUAGAAGGAACUUAUGUUCUGGUUCAGGAGGCAGAACUAUUGAAAUGUGAUCAGUGCUAUAAAAGCUGUAGGAGUUGUGGGAGCAGAAAAACUUUUUAAGAUGCCUUGUGGGGAAAAUCUAAAUUCUGUACAGAAUUUCUUUCCUUUUCCAGUUCUUUUCCCUGAUCCAGGAGAGAAUUAAAGGAGUCUGGUAUCUUUUUUAAGUCUGAUAAGAAACAUUUACAAUCUUUUCUUUCUCAAGCCUGUUACCUGUAAGCUUCAUCGGCAUAAUAAGAACCUUGGUUUCCACAACCCCUUGUCUUAACCCAGACACUCCCUUCUAUGGAUUCCAGGUCUUUAGAUAAACUUUUUCAACCAAUUGCCAAUUGGAAAAUCUCUGAAUCCACCUAUGACCUGGAAGCCCACACUUUGAGUUGUUUUGUCUUUUCAGACAGAACCAAUGUACAUCUUACAUGUACUGAUUGAUGUCUUAUGUCUCCCUAAAAUGUAUAAAACUAAGCUGUAGCUAGACCACCUUGGCACAUACCAUCAGGAACUCCUGAGGGUGUGUCAUGGGCAUGUCCUUAACCUUGGCAAAAUAAACUAAACUGAUUAAGACUUGUCUCAGAUAAUUUUUGGUUUAUACCUUCAUAAAGGAAGUGAAGCUUGGGCUUGUGUUGAAGAAAAGAAUAGGAGAGAAAGCAUCUGCCGACAUGUACCUGUGAGAACCUUGCAAGAAUUACAGACACUUUUAAUGACAAAACCAGGCAUCUGCAUUGGGAGGAGUGGUAAGGAAGAAGGAGGCUGGAUAAAGGAGCUAGAAGCCAUGCUGGGAGGGUCCUAUUAGGCCACACUCAGGACUUUGGAAUCUGCAGUACGUGGAGUGGAAACACUGAAGGAUAUAAUCAGUUAUGUACAGAAUAAAGAAUGUUCUGAGCCAAGCUCGGUAUGCACUGUUUUACCAAUAAACAGAUAAAAAAGA